rnacentral:rRNA from 1 species
AGCAGUAGCCGCGGUAAUACGGAGGGGGCUAGCGUUGUUCGGAAUUACCGGGCGUAAAGCGCACGUAGGCGGCUUGGUAAGUUAGAGGUGAAAGCCCGGAGCUCAACUCCGGAAUUGCCUUUAAGACUGCCGAGCUAGUAGGUGAGAGAGGUAAGUGGAAUUCCGAGUGUAGAGGUGAAAUUCGUAGAUAUUCGGAAGAACACCAGUGGCGAAGGCGGCUUACUGGCUCAUUCUAGACGCUGAGGUGCGAAAGCGUGGGGAGCAAACAGGAUUAGAGACCCCCGUAGUCCCUGUCUCUUAUAC